CAGUAGCCGCGGGAAAACAUAGGGUGCGAGCGUUAAUCGGAUUUACUGGGCGUAAAGCGUGCGUAGGCGGCUAAUUGAGUCGGAUGUGAAAUCCCCGAGCUUAACUUGGGAAUUGCAUUCGAUACUGGUUAGCUAGAGUGUGGGAGAGGAUGGUAGAAUUCCAGGUGUAGCGGUGAAAUGCGUAGAGAUCUGGAGGAAUACCGAUGGCGAAGGCAGCCAUCUGGCCUAACACUGACGCUGAGGUACGAAAGCAUGGGGAGCAAACAGGAUUAGAUACCCCCGUAGUCCCUGUCUCUUAUAC
rnacentral:rRNA from 1 species